rnacentral:lncRNA from 1 species
GGAGAAGGUAAAUGAAACACUCAAGAGGCACUUAAGGAAACUAACACAAGAAACUCAUCUCCCAUGGCCUACUCUCUUGCCCAUGGCCUUGUUGAGAAUCUGAAAUUCUCCUCACAAAAUGGGGCUCAGUUCCUAUGAAAUGCUGUAUGGAUAACCUUUUCUCACAAAUGACCUCCUACUUUAUCAGGAAAUGGCCAACUUGAUGAAGGAUAUAACUUAUUUGGCAAAAUAUCAAUGAAACCUUAAAAACAUACAUGAAGGAUGUUACAGAGAAAAGGGAACAGAGCUGUUUUAACUGGGAAAUCUAGUGUUUGUCAAAUUCCUCCCCUCUAACUCCCCAUCUAUGAUUUUUUGUGGAGAGAACAAUACUCAGUAAUCCUCUCUACCCCCACUGCAGUUAAGGUGGCAGGAGUGAAGUCUUGGAUUCACCACACCCCACUUAAACUUUGGACACCUGCUAAGGAACCUGCUGGACAAACAGCUCAGGAAUCCAAGGAUCAGCAAGAGUAGGCUAGAUACACCUGUGAGCCAUUGGAGGACUUACAUCUUCUUUUCUGGAAGGAAACAUCCCAGACUAAGAAGACUCUUACAGCUGAUCCUGAGGAAAAAUCCCUUCCUACUUAAAAAGAUGAAGGCCAUCAAGCUACAGAUGCUCUUACAAAUGGAACCUCAAAUGAACUCAACUAACAACUUCUAUUGAGGACCCCUGGACAGAGCCACUGGCCCUUUGACUGGCCUAAAGAGUUCCCCUCUGAAGGACACUAAAACUCCAGGACCCCUUCUUCACCCCUAUCCAACAGGAAGUAGAUAGAGCCAUCAUCACCCAAUUCCCAACAGCAUUUGGUGUGUCCUGUUUAGAGGGGGUAUUGAGAGGUGAAGUCAGCUGGACUUCUGGGUUGGGUGGUGACUUGGAGAAAUUUUCUGUCUUACAAGAGGUUUGCAAAAUGCACUAAUUAUCACCCUGUAGCUAGGAAUGCAAAAUCCACCAAUCAGUGCUCUGUAGCUAGCUAGAGAUUUGUAAAAUGCACCAAUCAGUGCUCUGUAGCUAGCUAGAGGUUUAUAAAAUAGACCAAUGAGCAGCCUGUUAAAUGGACCAAUCAGCAGGACAUGGUUGGGGACAAAUAAGGGAAUAAAGGCUGGCUACCCCACUCAGCAGCGGCAACCCACUCAGGCCCCCUUCCUUGCUAUGGAAACUUUGUUCUUUUGCUCUUCAGAAUAAAACUUGCUGCUGCUCACCCUUUGGUUCUAUGUUAUCUUUAAGAGCUGUUACACUCACCAUGAAGUUCUGCUACUCCAUUCUUGAAGUCAACAAGACCACAAACCCACCAGAAGGAAUGAACUCCAGACACAAAGAGGAGGAGAAAAGGAAUAAAAAAUUAGAAAGAGAAGGAGAAGGAGGAGAAAGAAAAGAAAAAAACCCAAGCAGAAGGAGGAGGAAGAGAAGGAGAAAAAGAAUGAAAACAUGGAGGUAGGGGGAAUAAGAGGAGGAGGGAAGAAGGAGGAGCUAAAGAAGAAAGGAAGAGAAGCAAGGAAUGAUAGUCACAUACUGAGAACCCUUUUGCAUUAUCUACACAGAUUUCAUGUUCGGUUACUUGAUGAAUUCAAGGCUCUAAGGUAGCAAAAAUAUAAGUCAACAAUAUAAAGUGUACUCCUGGACUCAUCUGAGUUUCACAGGCUGUUGUAGGUUAGAGUCUUCUCUGCAGGGCAUGAGGUUUUAUAUAUUUCCUCUUUUUUUUUUUUUUUUUUUUUUUUUUAAAGAGAAGGAGGAAGAGUAGGAGGAAGAAAAGUAGGGAGGUCUUGCUGGCUGAGAGUUGUCUGACAUGAUCCGGAAGUCACUGCUUCACCAUGGGGAGAUUGUUCUGGGUCAUUGUUUACCUGAUGCAAUCUUUGAUGGCUGUCUAUGGAGGUACCUUCAAGUUCUGGUAAAAUGACCCAACGGUCAGGUCAGGAGGACUCUGGACUGAGACUUGUA